rnacentral:rRNA from 1 species
UAAUACGAGGGGUGCAAGCGUUAAUCGGAAUUACUGGGCGUAAAGCGUUCGUAGGCGGUUUGUUAAGCAAGAUGUGAAAGCCCCGGGCUCAACCUGGGAACUGCAUUUUGAACUGGCAAGCUAGAGUACUGUAGAGGGUGGUGGAAUUUCCAGUGUAGCGGUGAAAUGCGUAGAGAUUGGAAGGAACAUCAGUGGCGAAGGCGGCCACCUGGACAGAUACUGACGCUGAGGAACGAAAGCGUGGGGAGCAAACAGGAUUAGAUACCCUGGUAGUCCACGCCGUAAACGAUGUCAACUAUCCGUUCGUAGACUUGAUCUGUGAGUGGAGCAGCUAACGCAAUAAGUUGACCGCCUGGGGAGUACGGCCGCAAGGUUA